UUUUAAAAUGGUGUCAUUGUUCGUUUGGUAAAAUACAGCGUGCGUCGUCACCGGCAUACCCCACUGCUCUCUUUGCGAGGAGCCCGCAUGGACCCCAUGUGACCCCAAGACGAAGGAAACAGCAGAACGACCGGCAGUGAGUUGCCGGUAGCAGAAGGGGAGGAAGACCGGUGAGACUGAAAAGUCUGGACAAACGUAACGAUUGAAAACAUCAAACCUUUGUUUAACCCUGCACAACUGGCUUCCAGAGUGUAUAUCCGUGAGUCUACAAGGCCACUGAUUUGAGAAGUGCUGCGACUCCUGCGGCUGCCGACAAUGGCCACCACCCGGGCGCUCAGACUGGAUCUUCUGUUCUUGCUUCCUGCGCCCACUGUGCCCAACGCUGUGUCUGAUUGGCUGCCAUCAGUGCGCUCCUGGCUGUAGAUCUCGCCGCUCACGCUGGAGCUCUUCAGCAUGCUGCGUCCCGCCGAUGUACGCAUCUGCCGACUGCAGGAAGAAGACGUCGAAUGACGGCGGUGAUGUCAAAUACUGCAAACUUCUGUGUACUCCGCCUUCCUUCACAGAGUGAUUGGACGCAAUAUUGUGGAGGGGGCGUGGCCUGCGGGACUGCAGCGGAAUGGGGUGUGCCAGGACCGGCCCUCAAAGUCAGCGACAGGCACUCUGCACUGCCGCCUCGGAUUGACCUGUGCAUCUCCAGGACCUCACUGUCAUUGCCGUGACGAUGGGUGAACGGAUGAAAAAAACACAACAGAAGAGGAUGGCAACUCAGAAGGGCAUGUGGUUUUUAUGAAUGGGGGAAAAAACCAUGAAAAUAAAUAAU